GAUGAACGCUGGCGGCGUGCCUAAUACAUGCAAGUCGAGCGAACAGACGAGGAGCUUGCUCCUCUGACGUUAGCGGCGGACGGGUGAGUAACACGUGGAUAACCUACCUAUAAGACUGGGAUAACUUCGGGAAACCGGAGCUAAUACCGGAUAAUAUAUUGAACCGCAUGGUUCAAUAGUGAAAGACGGUUUUGCUGUCACUUAUAGAUGGAUCCGCGCCGAAUUAGCUAGUUGGUAAGGUAACGGCUUACCAAGGCAACGAUGCGUAGCCCACCUGAAAGUGUGGUAGGCCACACUGUACCUGAGAUAGGGUCCAGACAACUACGGGAGGCAGAAGUAGGGAAUCGGACGAAAUGAGGGGAAGCAAGACGGAGGAAACGCGCGUGAAGGACUAAGUUAGUUGGAACGUAAAACUCGUUUAUGGGGGAGGAACAAAUGUGGAAGUAAUAAUGCACGUCUGGAUGGUACCUGAUCAGAAUGCCACGGAUAACUACGUG
rnacentral:rRNA from 1 species